AGAUGUGUCCCAUCUCAUGGAUCAUGGUGUUGGUGUGUCCUACGGUACCAAAGUAGGACGGGUUGAGCACCAUCCCACCUGGCAACAGCAGGAAACGCACAUUAGCACUGUCACCACUUCCUGAUCUCUGAUUGACCGCGCCUAGCUGGAGUCAUUGCAGACUCCGGGAAUUAGAUCUGGAGGGCUGCAACACGUCAGGAAAGUGUCGACUCAACUUUGCAAACAGGGCUCUGGCUUGAGGCUGAAGAUGGAGAUGGAGGAAGAGGAGGAGAAAGAGGAGGCUACUGGCAGUUACGGCAGGGGCCCCCG